AACGCUGGCGGCGUGCCUAACACAUGCAAGUCGAACGAGAAAGCUGGAGCAAUCCUAUGAGUAAAAGUGGCGACCGGGUGAGUAACACGUGACUAACCUACCCUGAAGUGGGGGAUAACUCCGGGAAACCGGGGCUAAUACCGCAUGAUAUCGCGAGGGGAAGAUCCUUGUGAUCAAAGGAGCAAUUCGCUGAAGGAGGGGGUCGCGGCUGAUUAGCUAGUUGGUAGGGUAACGGCCUACCAAGGCGAAGAUCAGUAGCCGGCCUGAGAGGGCGCACGGCCACACUGGAACUGAAACACGGUCCAGACUCCUACGGGAGGCAGCAGUGGGGAAUUUUGCGCAAUGGGGGAAACCCUGACGCAGCAACGCCGCGUGGAGGAUGAAGUCCCUUGGGAUGUAAACUCCUUUCGAUCGGGACGAUAAUGACGGUACCGGAAGAAGAAGCGCCGGCUAACUCUGUGCCAGCAGCCGCGGUAAUACAGAGGGUGCAAGCGUUGGUCGGAAUUAUUGGGCGUAAAGGGCGCGUAGGCGGUGCGGUAAGUCUGUAUUGAAAUCUCUGGGCUCAACUCAGAGUCUGCUGCAGAAACUGCCGUGCUUGAGUGUGGGAGA
rnacentral:rRNA from 1 species